CUCACGGUGCAGCAGCAGCGAUGUCCCAAUGCCUCAGUGAGGCUUCUUAAAGCUGUGGCGAAGGUGAGUCUGGGCCCCGCCCCCUAGGCCUGGUGGAAUCAGCCGGAGGGGGGGCGGCCUUCCCCAACACUCACAGUGCAGCAGCAGCGAUGUCCCAAUGCCUCAGUGAGGCUUCUUAAAGCUGUGGCGAAGGUGAGUCUGGGCCCCGCCCCCUAGGCCUGGUGGAAUCAGCCUGAGGAGGGAGCGGCCUUCCCCAACACUCACGGUGCAGCAGCAGCGAUGUCCCAAUGCCUCAGUGAGGCUUCUUAAAGCUGUGGCGAAGGUGAGUCUGGGCCCCGCCCCCUAGGCCUGAUGGAAUCAGCCUGAAGAGGGAGCGGCCUUCCCCAACACUCACGGUGCAGCAGCAGCGAUGUCCCAGUGCCUCAGUGAGGCUUCUUAAAGCUGUGGCGAAGGUGAGUCUGGGCCCCGCCCCCUAGGCCUGGUGGAAUCAGCCUGAGGAGGGAGCGGCCUUCCCCAACACUCACAGUGCAGCAGCAGCGAUGUCCCAAUGCCUCAGUGAGGCUUCUUAAAGCUGUGGCGAAGGUGAGUCUGGGCCCCGCCCCCUAGGCCUGGUGGAAUCAGCCUGAAGAGGGAGCGGCCUUCCCCAACACUCACGGUGCAGCAGCAGCGAUGUCCCAGUGCCUCAGUGAGGCUUCUUAAAGCUGUGGCGAAGGUGAGUCUGGGCCCCGCCCCCUAGGCCUGGUGGAAUC